rnacentral:sRNA from 3 species
CCUUAGCCCUGAUAGAAGCGAUAUCCUUUUAUUUUUUUCUUUAAAAAAUAAAAGAUAAAGCGGAUAGCAGGAAAUAGC